UCUUGGUCAWUUAGAGGAAGUAAAAGUCGUAACAAGGUUUCCGUAGGUGAACCUGCGGAAGGAUCAUUACAAUUCAGUAGCUUGCUACUGUCGGGAGGUGCUGUAAGCCCGCAUAGUUUAAUUACUGAUGAGCGGCAGGCCCUCUGUCUGUACCCUUGUCUUUUGCGCACCCAAGUUUCCUCGGCGGGCUUGCCCGCCGGUUGGACAACACUAUAACCUUUUUAAUUUUCAAUCAGCGUCUGAAAAAACGUAAUAAUUACAACUUUCAACAACGGAUCUCUUGGUUCUGGCAUCGAUGAAGAACGCAGCGAAAUGCGAUAAGUAGUGUGAAUUGCAGAAUUCAGUGAAUCAUCGAAUCUUUGAACGCACAUUGCGCCCCUUGGUAUUCCAUGGGGCAUGCCUGUUCGAGCGUCAUUUGUACCCUCAAGCUCUGCUUGGUGUUGGGUGUUUGUCCUCUCCUCUGCGUUUGGACUCGCCUUAAAGCAAUUGGCAGCCAGUGUUUUUGGUAUUGAAGCGCAGCACAUUUUGCGAAUCUAGCCGAAAAUACUUGCGUCCAUAAGCCUUAUUUUCACUUUUGACCUCGGAUCAGGUAGGGAUACCCGCUGAACUUAAGCAUAUCAUAAGCGGAGGAAAAUUCCUCCCCCCCUGAACUUUAACAUAUCAAAGUCGGGGGAAGAAAAUGUCGCUAGAAAAGCAUGCCCCUGAAUACAAGGGGGCACUGUGCGUUCCAAGAUUCGAUGAUUCUGAA
rnacentral:rRNA from 1 species